rnacentral:rRNA from 1 species
CUACCCGCUGAACUUAAGCAUAUCAAUAAAGCGGGAGGAGGCGUUCAUUAUCGAAAUUUUAAGAAAAAGUUUGG